rnacentral:misc_RNA from 1 species
GGAAGUAAAAGUCUAACAAGGUUUCCGUAGGUGAACCUGCGGAAGGAUCAUUAUUGUAUAACCGAGGUGCGAGGGCUGUCGCUGACCCGAAAGGUCGUGCACGCCCGAGUGCCCUCACACACAUCCAUCUCACCCCUAUGUGCACCACCGCGUGGGUCCCCCUUUGGCUUGCUCGGAGGGGGGCUUACGUUUUCACACAAACUUUGUAUGCAGUGUAGAAUGUAUUUUUUGUUUUUGCGAUCACGCAAUCAAUACAACUUUCAACAACGGAUCUCUUGGCUCUC